UUCACCAUCCUGACGCACGUACACAUACGUGUGGGAAGAAUGUGCACAACUUUGCACGUCUUCACAAUCUACCAAGGCACUCGGGAGCUGCGUGUUACAUCUGUCCGUGUGCGCGGUGCGCUUUGGAAUGUGUAUGGGAUAUUUGAGUGCGCGUUGCGUUUUUGCCACGCUGAGCGUGUGUUGCACAUCAGUGUGUGCUGUGUAUCGGAAUGUCCUUCGGGUCAGAGUGGCUAAUCACCUAAAGUGCUUUGAACUUUACAAGGGAUAGAUUCAGAGGGGAGAAAACACAUUUCAGACAGCAGAAGACGGCGAGACAGCGUUUGACUCGCCGCCAGCGACGUUUCUCUGACCCAGUCUGUACCUUCGGGGAACUAGGAGAGGGUAACACUGAGAUUCGUCCUGAUGUGAUCUCGCCCUGUCUGCUGUUACAAACGUCCCAACUCAAACAGUCCAGUCAAAGUAAAAGGUGUCACUCAGCUGGCAUACAAAAUCCCACAGCACCAUUGUGGCUCCAAUAUUUCUCGCUCAGCAGAUAUCACUGAAAAUGUUUCUAUGGAACUGUAAUGGUCACUUCUGCACAACUUGCCUGAACUUGCUGCGGAUCUUCUUAACUCUGACUGGAAGUUCUUGUCUACACAGCACCUUAGGAAUGUAAGAAGCUGCAGAGAGUAACGAACUCAACUUAAUACAUCACGGGCACAUCCCUCCCCACCAUCGGGAGUAUCGACAGAAAGCAACCUCCAUCAUCAAAGAUCCCCACCAUCCGGGCCGUGCCAUCUUCUCGCAGCUACCGUCGGGCAGGAGGUACAGAAGCCUGAAGUCCCCACACCACCAGGUUCAGGAACAGCUACUUCCCUUCAACCAUUCAGUUCUUGAACUGACCGCCACAACCCUAAUUGCUACCUCAGUACAGCAACACUGGGACCACUUUGCACUACAAUGUACUUUGUUUUUUUAAGUUCUAAUUAUUUUCUCCCUUGUAUAAUUUUGUAUAAUUUAUGUUUAAUUUAUGUUUUCCUUGUGAAUGCUGCUUAUCUGAUGCUCUGUGCCUGUGAGGCUGCUGCAGGUAAGUUUUUCAUUGCACCUGUGCACACAUGGACUUGUGCAGAUGCCGAUAAACUCAACUUUAACUUUCAACCCCAGUGGCCUCACCAAAUUCCUCACCCCCUCCCUCCCCUCAGCCUACACAGCAGCUCCCUCCAGGAGGCAACCUGUAUCUCACUCUGAGGGAGCUGGAGGAGCUACUCUGUGUCUCAAUCCCAUCCCAAUCAAAGUGGAUCUCAGUAUUAACUCCACUAAGCUGUAUCC